AGCAGCCGCGGUAAUUCCAGCUCCAAUAGCGUAUAUUAAAGUUGUUGCAGUUAAAAAGCUCGUAGUUGAAUUUCGGGGUUAGCAGGUCGGUCGUGCCAUUGGUAUGAACUGGUCUCGCUGAUCCCUCCCUCUUGACGAACUGUGAUGCCCUUAAUUUGGUGUCGCAGGGAAUCAGGACUGUUACUUUGAAAAAAUUAGAGUGUUUAAAGCAGGCUUUAGCUUGAAUACAUUAGCAUGGAAUAAUGAAAUAGGACGUUUGAUCCUAUUUUGUUGGUUUCUAGGAUUGACGUAAUGAUUAAUAGGGAUAGUUGGGGGCAUUAGUAUUCAAUUGUCAGAGGUGAAAUUCUUGGAUUUAUUGAAGACUAACUACUGCGAAAGCAUUUGCCAAGGAUGUUUUCAUUAAUCAAGAACGAAAGUUAGGGGAUCGAAGACGAUCAGAUACCGUCGUAUUCUUAACCAUAAACUAUGCCAACUAGGGAUCGGAUGAUGUUAAUUUUUUAAUGACUCAUUCGGCGCCUUACG
rnacentral:rRNA from 1 species